rnacentral:rRNA from 1 species
AUUGAACGCUGGCGGCAGGCCUAACACAUGCAAGUCGAGCGAGCGGCGGACGGGUGAGUAAUGUCUGGGAACCUGCCUGAUGGAGGGGGAUAACUACUGGAAACGGUAGCUAAUACCGCAUACCAUCAGAUGUGCCCAGCUGGGAUUGGCUAGUAGGUGGGGUAACGGCCCACCUAGGCGACGAGCCCUAGCUGGUCUGAGAGGAUGACCACCAGCACGGGAACUGAGACACGGUCCAGACUCCUACGGUAGGCAGCAGGGGGGAAUAGUGCACAAUGGGCGCAAGCCUGAUGCAGCCAUGCCGCGUGUGUGAAGAAGGCCUUCGGGUUGUAAAGCACUUUCAGCGGGGAGGCGUUACCCGCAGAAGAAGCACCGGCUAACUCCGUGCCAGCAGCCGCGGUAAUUC